GGCUCAGAUUGAACGCUGGCGGCAGGCCUAACACAUGCAAGUCGAGCGGCAGCACGGGUACUUGUACCUGGUGGCGAGCGGCGGACGGGUGAGUAAUGCCUAGGAAUCUGCCUGGUAGUGGGGGAUAACGUUCGGAAACGAACGCUAAUACCGCAUACGUCCUACGGGAGAAAGCAGGGGACCUUCGGGCCUUGCGCUAUCAGAUGAGCCUAGGUCGGAUUAGCUAGUUGGUGAGGUAAUGGCUCACCAAGGCGACGAUCCGUAACUGGUCUGAGAGGAUGAUCAGUCACACUGGAACUGAGACACGGUCCAGACUCCUACGGGAGGCAGCAGUGGGGAAUAUUGGACAAUGGGCGAAAGCCUGAUCCAGCCAUGCCGCGUGUGUGAAGAAGGUCUUCGGAUUGUAAAGCACUUUAAGUUGGGAGGAAGGGCAGUUACCUAAUACGUAAUUGUUUUGACGUUACCGACAGAAUAAGCACCGGCUAACUCUGUGCCAGCAGCCGCGGUAAUACAGAGGGUGCAAGCGUUAAUCGGAAUUACUGGGCGUAAAGCGCGCGUAGGUGGUUCGUUAAGUUGGAUGUGAAAUCCCCGGGCUCAACCUGGGAACUGCAUUCAAAACUGUCGAGCUAGAGUAUGGUAGAGGGUGGUGGAAUUUCCUGUGUAGCGGUGAAAUGCGUAGAUAUAGGAAGGAACACCAGUGGCGAAGGCGACCACCUGGACUGAUACUGACACUGAGGUGC
rnacentral:rRNA from 1 species